UACAGAGGGUGCGAGCGUUAAUCGGAAUUACUGGGCGUAAAGCGCACGUAGGUGGCUUUGCAAGUCAAUUGUGAAAUCCCCGGGCUCAACCUGGGAACUGCAGUCGAGACUGCUUUGCUUGAGUAUGGGAGAGGGAGGUGGAAUUUCCGGUGUAGCGGUGAAAUGCGUAGAUAUCGGAAGGAACAUCAGUGGCGAAGGCGACCUCCUGGACCAAUACUGACACUCAAGUGCGAAAGCGUGGGGAGCAAACAGG
rnacentral:rRNA from 1 species